GCGGAAGGAUCAUUGUCGAA
rnacentral:rRNA from 1 species